rnacentral:lncRNA from 1 species
UAAAGGAAAUUAUACAAAGUUUCUGACUGCAACGAAGGGAACUAUCGGAUUCCUGAAUCUGAGGACUCUGAGAUUCGAGUCCAUUCAGAGUAUUGGCUAUGAUCCUCUGGCCUUGGCCUUUGACCUCUCCAGGAGCUCAUUCUACUGGGCUGAUGACCAGGGGAACAUCUACAAGGCUAAGGAGCAGCAGCGCAGGAUCCUUUAUCAUGGACAAUAUGGGGUUAGAAGUCUAGUCUGUGAUUGGCUGACAGGCCAGCUGUACUGGACCAACCAYAAGACCSGGUCUAUUCAUGUUGGGGCAGCUGAUGGGAGUGGAUUUGCAACGGUCUUGGCCAAGAACAUAGACCCGUUGGAGCUGGUCCUUCU